ACUGUGUGGAACACCCUAGUUGUAAUUGGCUGAAUUUAGCUUAAUAACUCCGGUCUGGCACGGCAAAAUUGCUCACCUCUAGAGGGCCCAGAGGUGAAAACCUUGUGUUGAGAAAUAACCUGCAUGGACCCCACGCAGAUGCUCACUCGGACACCUCAUGCUUAGCCAACAAAGCCUGCACUGCUGCAGCUCAGCUCCAGAGGACCCGAAAGCAAGGAACAUGGAGUUGCAUUUACCUGAGUGCUUCCGGGACUUAGGCUGCGCCUGCCAGGCCAGAAAGGUUUGAUGUCCACUCCUAUGCCGGUGUCCUCAGACUUCAAGUUUGCUUGAUGCAUGAUGCUACUCACACAUGCCAAGAGACAGCCACCACAGAUGGGGCAGGACCCACUGCCCAGGAAGAAUAUGUAGCAAUUCUAGUCCCUGCUCUGCCCUAAUCUCUGCCUCCUCCCCUGACUGGCCUCAGCCUCUAAGGCAACUCCCUCCUUCCUGUGGUCCUGUGUCUCAGCAUUACUUCUGGCAUGCUACGUGAUGCUAACUCUCAUCUGGGGAUUUAUUUAUUUCUGUUCACAUUCAAGGUUAUUCUCUCUCGUUCUUUUUUUUUCCCCCUAGUUUGACUCAGCCUCCAUCACCUGACUUUUCUUUCUCUCUGAAAGAGGACUUUCCCACAUCCUGAAUCUCCAUCUUUCUACUUCCCUCAACUUGUCUGUCAGCUUCUAUUUUUGUUCCUCGAUACCUAACAUGCCUUUCCAUGUCUGCAGCUGUAACUUAGCGCCCUCGCCCUGUGGGCCUGUGUCUGUGUCCUGGCAGUCUAUGAGAACCCCGUGUGUCUCACUGCAUCAACUGCUUCACCAAAGUGCAGCAACCUGAGCUGGUAGCUUUUAGAAUCUGAUUUCUUCCCUGAAGACUUUUUAAAAACAUUAUUCAAAUUUAUACCCAUUAGAUGGUCACAAAGGUAGAAGGGCACAGGAAAUGUCCAAAGAGCAACCUUUAAAACUAAAGAACCUUUAAAACUGUUCAGAAUCUGACCUUCCAUCCAUCAUUGUUUACUUAAUCAACAGAAGAGAUGGAUGGGAAAGCAGGUAGGAGAGGGGGCUGGUGGGAGGAAGUGGCUGGGACGUUUGAGAUGUUUUCAAAAACCUGAACUUUAUUCUCUAAAACUGAUAGGGCCUCUUGGAGACAAAAGUCAAGUCAUUAUGUGCAUACUUAAAGUUUUAAGUUUUAAACCUGAGUUAGAGGAUAUAAGCUUAAAUUUGAAUGUGUUUGUAGAAUUGAGCUUAUCAAGUAACUCCUAACAAAUAUUGAUACUUACAAACAACAGAACGGAAACCGUUACUCUGAAGAAACCUAAGUCUUAGUUUCAGUCAUAGUCAAGUGAAGAGCAAACUUACUGACUUCUAUUAAAGGCUCGCCAAGCUGUGAUUUAGGACUGAGCUCCCUGCUGGGCUAGCCCUGGCUAAGGUGUGGAGCACCUAUACCCAAUUCUUUCACAUUCUGCGUCCACAGAAGCCUCUCCUCCCUGUCCUACGGCUCUGGCUUGAGACUGCUUACUCCUUCCAGACCCAGAAGUCGUCCGCCCAAGCCUCCUUUCCCUUUCAACUCCUCCUUAGCCAGAAGUCCUAGUCAGAAGCCGUCUGCCCGAGCCUCCUUCUCUUGUCAAUUGCUCCCUAGUGUACCCUGAAUUGCAUGACUAGCCCUGCUGAGGACUUAGCAUUUUCUCCAACUGAAACCUAGGAGGGCAGGCACCGAAUAAAUCAGAGCACCAGAUUGUAAACAUAAAACAGUAAGUCGUGGGCAUGAGACACAAUAGCCAGACAAGCAAGACAGAUGCAGAUAAAAACAUGGCACCUGAUGGGCCAGAAUGUAGAUGUUGUGUCCAACGUCUUUUGGAGAAACACCAUCAUCCCCUCCCUCCUCGUCCCCAUGGUCACAUUCCAGGCCUUGGUUAUAGGCAUUCUUCAUGACAUCCACCUAGAGACAAAUAAAUAAAUAAAUAAAUAAAUAAUAAAGUCUGAAAGGUGGUGGCAAUGCUUCAGGUUGUCUAAUCAUGAACACUGUGUACCCAUGCACGAAUCUAAUUGAGCUCACCAAGCUAACAGCCAACUAUACCCAGAAAUCAUUAAACUAAGGCCAAAAAAUAUGUCUAUAAAUAAAUUUGUUUAUUGAUGUUGAUAUAUAUAUAUAUAUCAACAUCAAUAAACAUAUAUCAAAAGGCAUCUGUAUAUAGCUAAGUAGAGCAUGGCAAGUUAGUUAAGAAAAGUGCUUAAAAUAUAUCAGGCUGGAUUGAUAGCUCAGGAUUAAGUGUGCUUCCUGCUCUUGCAGAAGACCCCAGGUCAAUUCCCAGCGCCCACAUCCAGGUUCUCUACUCUGGCUCCAGGGCAUCCAACACUCCAACACCCUAGCGCAUCCACCAUCCUGAGUCACAAGGGCCUUCACUACGUGUUUUCUGCUCCCCAGUGCCAGUCAUCCUGCUCCUACCAACCCAGUCAGAGCAGGGUGGAUGCCACCCAACUGCCAUAGCCUGGAGAAGUGUUCUCACCAGUUCCCUGGGUCUCAUGUUGAAAAGAAUUCUCUCUGCAUUCUCACUGUCAUGUCUGCUCUCCAUAAUGGCCAGCAGAAGCUUGGAGGCGUUGUUCUGAGGACAAAGACGGGGUCAGUGCACAUACAAAGUCCACAGCACAGGUCAAAAAUCCCCUGCAUUGGUGGGAACUCAGAUCACACAGCCCUUUUCAUAUUCUCAAUCAGAUGAAAGCUGAAACUUAUUUUUAUUUUGUCAUACUAACAUUUGAAAAUAGAAGGUUUUAAUUUACUUCAUUGUUGAUACAAAGUAAAAGUCAUGAAAGAUGGGAGGAUAUUUUAAAUCACAGGUGUUUUUAAUGGGAAAGUGGCUACACACCACACUGAAUAGAACUAUGGCUUCUUUUAGUGCUUCCUCCGUUAGAUUUCUAUAAUGAUACUUUAAUAAGACAAUCAGAUGAACAGGCAUCAAUGACAUUUUAUAGACACGGCUAGAACUUAGAGAAUUUAGCACAACCAUUUAAAAAAUGAAGUAGUAAUAUUAGUAGCAUACUGAAAUUGCACAUAAACGUGUGAGUCACUGUUGAGAAUAGAUAUAUGAAAUUAAAUUCAUGAGUUAGAGAGAGAAUGAUUUGCUGAUAGUGUGCUUAUUUCACGGCAUUUAUUAUUCAGUAUGUCAGAGAAUAACAUUUUGCUCUAUUCUCUUAAUAAAGGAUGGAAGCGGUUUAUGCUGCCGAUGUGUUGCAUUGUAUUAAUUAUAAACAUUAUCUCAAGUAUUGUUACUUAAGAUAUCGAGGUGUGAAGCAAUCUUCAGUCCUGAGUGGGCACCAGAGCUGCACUGGAAGCAUUCUGUCCUCUGUCAGAGCAACCAUUGAUGUUUGGUAUCAAUCACACCUUUAAAUUUUAUGUCCAGAAAUGUAUGACAUGGAGCCUCUGCCCCUGAACCUUGCCCGCUCCAGGUGUUUUCUGAAUACUAAACACUGGAAAAUAAAAACCCAACCGCCAUAGGGAUUCGAAUUUUCCACAACUGAAUUUUAAAAUUACCUAAGAAGAGGCUCAACAGUUUCCUGAAAGGAAGGUGAGUAACAGCUAAGGAGCUAACACAGUGACCAGAAGGAAAGGUCUCAGUACUUAGCCAAUUUCAGAAUUUUCUGACGUAUAAAAGUAUAUCUCAAAGACCCAUAAGCACAUGUAAAACAAGUACAAGUGACUUUACAAGUGAUGUGCCAAAGGGCUGGAGAGGUGGUGUGUUAGUUGCUUUUCUGUUGCUCUGACAAAACACCAUGAACAAAAGUAACUUGGGGAGACAAGGGUUUAUGUCAUCUUACAACUGUCUGAUCUAUCCGUAAGGGAAGUCAGGGCAGGAACUCAAGGCAGGAACCUGGAGGCAGGAACUGAAGUAGAGGCAUGGAAGAAAGCUGCUUAACAGCUUGCUCAGCCCACUUUCUUACGUGACCCAACAGAGGCACCAUCCACAACAGGUUUGGCCCUCCCACAUCUGUCACUGAUGAGGACAAUGCCCCCACAGACUUGUCUGCAGGUCAAUCUUAUGAGGACAUCUUCCCAAUUAACAUGCCCUCUUCCCAGUUAUAUCUAGCAAUAUAUUAACAAAAACCAACGAGUACAGAGUGCUUAGUGGUUAAGACCCUUGCUGCUCUUCCAGAGGACUGAGUUCAGUUCCCAGCAACCAUGUUAGAUUGUAACUCCAGUUGCAGGGGACCAGACACCAUCUUCUGGCCUCUGCAGAACUCACACACAUGUGGAACACACAGAGAGAACACAAUGUAUCAAAAAACGUGUGUGCACAUUCAAGAAUUCCUACAGAUCUCAUGGGAAAAUGAUAAACUAUAAAGUGAUAACAUCUCUACAGUAUUUAACUGACAAUAAUUUGGUUAUUUCAAAUAUAAACACUAUAAAUUCCAUCCUUGGAGUUUAAUUUCUGUGCUUAGAAAGUUUUAGAUGGUUUUCUUUACUGCACAGAAGAGUGAACUCAAAGGUCUUUCACAUUGCCAGUUGCGCCACACCAAUUAAACUCCAAUUUAGUUUGGUCCUGCAGGGCUAUUUUAGAGUCAUCCUCAUGACCAAAUUCCUCUAUAGAUGGAAGUCCACACUGGAAGCACAAGGGGUAAUUAAACCCCAAGAAUCGAGACAAUGACAAAGCUACAUGAGAUUCUUCAUUUUAUUAUUUCCUUCCCCCACAACAUUUCCUCGGGUUCCCAGGAAGGUCCUCACCUCUCAUCCGAGGGCCCAGGGCCAUGACGUCACUGUCCUCUUCUCUCUUCUUGCUCCCUAAGUCUAUGGUGUUGACGGUCACCGUGGAUCUGAUCUCUUUCUGAGCAGCCUUCAUCCGAUCAUAAAGGACUUUGAAAAAUU